UUCUUAGUUUUGCUGAGUCCCUACCUUUAAGGUGGGGAACGGGGGAACCAAACGUAGCAACCUUUUUUCGGUGUGAGAGUCGAAAUUAGGAAGCUACAGGGGUGAAUCCUAGAUAAGGCUAUUAAGCCUUAUCUAGGUAGAGCGACUCUCACCGCUCGAAUCCGACAGCUAACCUCGUAAGCUUAAGUUUGAGAGAGG
rnacentral:sRNA from 2 species